AGAUGGUUGUUUUCUUUUCGAAAGCAUGAACACAUAGUCACGAUUUCAGUCCCCGCUAAAGCAAUUGUGUCUGGUCUCCAUUCAUAAAUAACAUUUUCGCAUAUUCGCAGGACUAGUUCGACUGACUCUACACCUGCUGCACGCACGGGUCUCCGCCCGCUUCCUUCUUAUAGUAAGCAUGACUUUCUUUUUCUUUUUUUCGAUUCUCUGCUUCCC
rnacentral:lncRNA from 1 species